AAUGAAUGCUCCAGUCAUCCUUGUCAGAAUAGUGGAACGUGUGUUGACAUGGUGAAUUCUUAUCGCUGUUUGUGUUCUGCUGGCUACUACGGGACAAAUUGCCAAGUUAGAGACCAUUGUCGCAACCAGCCCUGCCAAAAUGGCGCCACGUGUAGGAGUCAAACUUCCACGUAUUCUUGCAGCUGCCGUUCUGGGUAUACCGGCAGGAAUUGUGAAUCAGGAAUCGAUGAAUGCUCCAACCGUCCUUGUCAGAAUGG